AGAAAUUUUAAAAGCAAACAAUAAAUAUAAAUAUGAUAACAAAGGAAUAACAAAUCAACAGUAUGUUUCUUUUUUUUAUUGCAUUUUAGGUUUUGGGGUACAUGUGCAGAACAUGCAAGACAGUUGCAUAGGUACACACAUGGCAGUGUGUUUUGCUUGCUUUCUCCCCUUCACCCACAUUUGGCAUUUCUCCCCAGGCUAUCCCUCCCCACCUCCCCCUCCCACUGGCCCUCCCCUUUUCCCCCCAAUAGACCCCAGUGUUUAGUACUCCCCUCCCUGGGUCCAUGUGUUCUCAUUUUUCCUCACCCGCCUAUAAGUGAGAAUAUGCGGUGUUUCAUUUUCUGUUCUUGUGUCAGUUUGCUGAGAAUGAUGUUCUCCAGAUUCAUCCAUGUCCCUACAAAUGACACAAACUCAUCAUUUCUGAUUGCUGCAUAAUAUUCCAGGGUGUAUAUGUGCCACAUUUUCCCAAUCCAGUCUAUCAUCAAUGGGCAUUUGGGUUGAUUCCAGGUCUUUGCUAUUGUAAACAGUGCUGCAGUGAACAUUCGUGUGCAUGUGUCCUUAUAAUAGAACGAUUUAUAGUCCUUUGGAUAUAUACCCAGUAAUGGGAUUGCUGGAUCAAAUGGAAUUUCUAUUUCUAAGGCCUUGAGGAAUCGCCACACUGUCUUCCACAAUGGUUGAACUAAUUUAUACUCCCACCAACAGUGUAAAAGUGUUCCUUUUUCUCCACAUCCUCUCCAGCAUCUGUUGUCUCCAGAUUUUUUAAUGAUCGCCAUUCUAACUGGCGUGAGAUGGUAUCUCAAUGUGGUUUUGAUUUGCCUCUCUUAUGACCAGUGACGAUGAGCAUUUUUUCAUGUUUGUUGGCCUCAUGUAUGUCUUCUUUUGUAAAGUGUCUGUUCAUAUCCUUUGUUUUUUUCCUGUAAAUCUGUUUGAGUUUUUUGUAAAUUCUGGAUAUCAGCCCUUUGUCAGAUGGGUACACUGCAAAAAUGUUUUCCCAUUCUAUUGGCUGCUGAUUCACUCUAGUGACUGUUUCUUUUGCUGUGCAGAAGCUGUGGAGUUUGAUUAGGUCCCAUUUGUCUAUUUUGGCUUUUGUUGCCAAUGCUUUUGGUGUUUUGGUCAUGAAAUCCUUGCCUACUCCUAUGUCCUGAAUGGUUUUGCCUAGAUUUUCUUCUAGGGUUUUUAUGGUGCCUGGUCUUAUGUUUAAGUCUUUAAUCCAUCUGGAGUUAAUUUUAGUGUGAGGCGUCAGGAAGGGGUCCAGUUUCUGCUUUCUGCACAUGGCUAGCCAGUUUUCCCAAUACCAUUUAUUAAACAGGGAAUCCUUUCCCCAUUGCUUGUUUUUGUCAGGUUUACCAAAGAUUGUAUGGUUGUAGAUAUGUUGUGUUGCCUCUGAUGCCUCUGUUCUGUUCCAUUGGUCUAUAUCUCUGUUUUGGUACCAGUACCAUCCUGUUUUGAUUACUGUAGCCUUGUAGUAUAGUUUUUAGUCCAGUAGUGUGAUGCCUCCCGCUGUGUUCUUUUUGCUUAGAAUUGACUUGGCUAUGCGGGCUCGCUUUUGGUUCCAUAUGCAGUUCAUGGUGGCUUUUUCCAGUUCUGUGAAGAAAGUCAAUGGUAGCUUGAUGGGGAUAGCGUUUAAUCUAUAAAUUACUUUGGGCAGUAUAGCCAUUUUCACGAUAUUGAUUCUUCCUAACCAUGAACAUGGAAUGUUUCUCCAUCUGUUUGUGUCCUCUCUUAUUUCGUUGAGCAGUGGAUUGUAGUUUUCCUUGAAGAGGUCCCUUACGUUCCUUGUGAGUUGUAUUCCUAGGUAUUUUAUUCUUUUUGUGGCAAUUGUGAAUGGCAGUUUGUUCUUGAUUUGGCUUUCUUUAAGUCUGUUAUUGGUGUAGAGGAAUGCUUGUGAUUUUUGCACAUUGAUUUUAUAUCCUGAGACUUUGCUGAAGUUCCUUAUCAGUUUCAGGAGUUUUUGGGCUGAGACAAUGGGGUCUUCUAGGUAUACUAUCAUGUCGUCUGCAAAUAGAGACAAUUUGGCUUCCUCCUUUCCUAUUUGUAUAUCCUUUAUUUCGUUUCCUUGCCUGAUUGCUCCGGCUAGAACUUCCAGUACUAUAUUGAAUAGGAGUGGUGAGAGAGGGCAUCCUUGUCUAGUGCUGGAUUUCAAAGGGAAUGCUUCCAGUUUUUGCCCAUUCAGUAUGAUUUUGGCAUUGGUUUGUCAUAAAUAGCUUUUAUUAUUUUGAGAAACGUUCUGUCAAUACCGAAUUUAUUGAGGGGUUUUAGCAUAAAAGGCUGUUGAAUUUUGUCAAAGGCCUUCUCUGUGUCAAUUGAGAUAAUCAUGUGAUUUUUGUUUUGGGUUCUGUUUAUGUGGUGAACUACGUUUAUAGACUUGCGUAUGUUGAACCAGCCUUGCAUCCCCUGGAUGAAUCCUACUUGAUCAUGAUGGAUAAGCUUUUUGAUGUGCUGUUGCAAUCAGCUUGCCAAUAUUUUAUUGAAGAUUUUUGCAUCUAUGUUCAUCAUGGAUAUUGGCCUGAAGUUUUCUUUUCUUGUUGAGUCUCUGCCGGGUUUUGGUAUCAGGAUGAUGUUGGUCUCGUAAAAUGAAUUGGGAAAGAUUCCCUCUUUUUGGAUUAUUUGGAAUAGUUUCAGAAGGAAUGGUGCCAGCUCCUCUUUGUGUGUCUGGUAGAAUUCGGCUGUGAACCCAUCUGGACCUGGGCUUUUUUUAUGUGAUAUGUUCUUAAUUGCUGCCUCGACUUCAACCUUGUUAUUGGUCUAUUCAUACUUUCGGCUUCCUCCUGGUUUAGGCUUGGGAGGACACAGGUGUCCAGGAAUUUAUUUAUUUCUUCCAGGUUUACUACUUUAUGUGCAUAGAGUUGUUUGUAAUAUUCUCUGAUGAUGGUUUGAAUUUCUUUGGAAUCUGUGGUGAUUUUCCCUUUAUCGUUUUUUAUUGCAUCUAUUUGGUUGUUCUCUCUUUUCUUUUUUAUCAGUCUGGCUAGUGGUCUGUCUAUUUUGUUGAUCUUUUAAAAAAAACAUCUCCUGGAUUUAUUGAUUUUUUGAAGGGUUUUUUGUGUCUCUAUCUCCUUCAGUUCUGCUCUGAUCUUAGUUAUUUCUUGUCUUCUGCUAGAUUUUGAGUUUUUUUUAUCUUGCUCCUCUAGCUCUUUCAAUUUUGAUGAUAGGGUGUCAAUUUUGGGUCUCUCCUUUCUUCUCAUGUGGGUACUUAUUGCUAUAUAUUUUCCUCUAGAGACUGCUUUAAAUGUGUCCCAGAGAUUCUGGCAUGUUGUGUCUUCGUUCUCAUUGGUUUUCAAGAACUUCUUUAUUUUUUGCCAUCAUUUCAUUGUUUAUCCAGUCAACAUUCAAGAGCCAGUUGUUCAGUUUCCAUGAAGCUGUGCAGUUCUCAGUUAGUUUCUGAAUUCUGAGUUCUAACUUGAUUGUGCUGUGGUCUGAGAGACUGUUUGUUAUGAUUUCCGUUUUUUUGCAUUUGCCAAGGAGUGAUUUACUUCCAAUUAUGUGGUCAAUUUUAGAGUAGGUGUGAUGUGGUGCUGAGAAGAAUGUAUAUUCUGUGGAUU
rnacentral:lncRNA from 1 species